GACGAACGCUGGCGGCGUGCCUAAUACAUGCAAGUAGAACGCUGAAGGAGGAGCUUGCUUCUCCGGAUGAGUUGCGAACGGGUGAGUAACGCGUAGGUAACCUGCCUGGUAGCGGGGGAUAACUAUUGGAAACGAUAGCUAAUACCGCAUAACAGUAGAUAUUGCAUGAUAUCUGCUUGAAAGGUGCAAUUGCAUCACUACCAGAUGGACCUGCGUUGUAUUAGCUAGUUGGUGAGGUAACGGCUCACCAAGGCGACGAUACAUAGCCGACCUGAGAGGGUGAUCGGCCACACUGGGACUGAGACACGGCCCAGACUCCUACGGGAGGCAGCAGUAGGGAAUCUUCGGCAAUGGACGGAAGUCUGACCGAGCAACGCCGCGUGAGUGCAGAAGGGUUUCGGAUCGUAAAGCUCUGUUGUAAGAGAAGAACGAGUGUGAGAGUGGAAAGUUCACAAUGUGACGGUAUCUGACCAGAAAGGGACGGCUAACUACGUG
rnacentral:rRNA from 1 species